rnacentral:rRNA from 1 species
AACGGACGAGAAGCUUGCUUCUCUGAUGUUAGCGGCGGACGGGUGAGUAACACGUGGAUAACCUACCUAUAAGACUGGGAUAACUUCGGGAAACCGGAGCUAAUACCGGAUAAUAUUUUGAACCGCAUGGUUCAAAAGUGAAAGACGGUCUUGCUGUCACUUAUAGAUGGAUCCGCGCUGCAUUAGCUAGUUGGUAAGGUAACGGCUUACCAAGGCAACGAUGCAUAGCCGACCUGAGAGGGUGAUCGGCCACACUGGAACUGAGACACGGUCCAGACUCCUACGGGAGGCAGCAGUAGGGAAUCUUCCGCAAUGGGCGAAAGCCUGACGGAGCAACGCCGCGUGAGUGAUGAAGGUCUUCGGAUCGUAAAACUCUGUUAUUAGGGAAGAACAUAUGUGUAAGUAACUGUGCACAUCUUGACGGUACCUAAUCAGAAAGCCACGGCUAACUACGUGCCAGCAGCCGCGGUAAUACGUAGGUGGCAAGCGUUAUCCGGAAUUAUUGGGCGUAAAGCGCGCGUAGGCGGUUUUUUAAGUCUGAUGUGAAAGCCCACGGCUCAACCGUGGAGGGUCAUUGGAAACUGGAAAACUUGAGUGCAGAAGAGGAAAGUGGAAUUCCAUGUGUAGCGGUGAAAUGCGCAGAGAUAUGGAGGAACACCAGUGGCGAAGGCGACUUUCUGGUCUGUAACUGACGCUGAUGUGCGAAAGCGUGGGGAUCAAACAGGAUUAGAUACCCUGGUAGUCCACGCCGUAAACGAUGAGUGCUAAGUGU